AUCCAGCUGACGAGUACCAAAUUGUACGAAACGAGCGUUCUAGAU
rnacentral:hammerhead_ribozyme from 1 species